UUUUAUCGGAGAGUUUGAUCCUGGCUCAGGACGAACGCUGGCGGCGUGCCUAACACAUGCAAGUCGCGCGAGAAAGCUGCUCUUUGAGCAGUUAGUAAAGCGGCGGACGGGUGAGUAACGCGUGAGUAAUCUACCUUUAAGUCUGAUAUAACUUCUCGAAAGGGAAGCUAAUUUCGGAUAUUAUGCUGCCUGGAUAACCAGGCUGCAUCAAAGGCGGCUUUUUGCCUCCGCUUUUAGAUGUGCUCGCGUCCCAUUAGCUUGUUGGUGAGAUAACAGCUCACCAAGGCUGCGAUGGGUAGCCGACCUGAGAGGGUGAUCGGCCACACUGGGACUGAGACACGGCCCAGACUCCUACGGGAGGCUGCAGUGGGGAAUCUUUCGCAAUGAGCGCAAGCUUGACGAAGCGACGCCGCGUGAGUGAUGAAGGCCUUCGGGUCGUAAAGCUCUGUCCUCAGGGAAGAACAUCUUAGUAGUGAAUAACUGCUAGGCUUGACGGUACCUGAGAAGAAAGCUCCGGCUAACUACGUGCCAGCAGCCGCGGUAAUACGUAGGGAGCAAGCGUUGUCCGGAAUCAUUGGGCGUAAAGGGUGCGCAGGCGGUCUGGCAAGUCAAGUGUGAAAUGUAUCGGCUUAACUGAUACACUGCGCUUGAAACUGUCAGACUUGAGGGCAAGAGAAGAGAGCGGAAUUCCUAGUGUAGCGGUGAAAUGCGUAGAUAUUAGGAAGAACACCAGUGGCGAAAGCGGCUCUCUGGCUUGACCCUGACGCUGAGGCACGAAAGCUAGGGGAGCGAACGGGAUUAGAUACCCCGGUAGUCCUGGCUGUAAACGCUGGAUACUAGGUGUUGGGGGUUCAACUCCCUCAGUGCUGCAGUUAACGCGUUAAGUAUCCCGCCUGGGGAUUACGACCGCAAGGUUGAAACUCAAAGGAAUUGACGGGGGCCUGCACAAGCGGCGGAGCAUGUGGUUUAAUUCGAAGCAACGCGCAGAACCUUACCAGGGCUUGACAUCCCGUGACUAUCUGUCAACAGCAGAAUUUGGUCCUUUGGAUCACACGGUGACAGGUGGUGCAUGGCUGUCGUCAGCUCGUGUCGUGAGAUGUUGGGUUAAGUCCCGCAACGAGCGUAACCCCUAUCCUUAGUUGCCAGCAUUAAGUUGGGGACUCUAGGGAGACUGCCAGUCAAAAACUGGAGGAAGGUGGGGAUGACGUCAAGUCAUCAUGCCCCUUAUGCUCUGGGCUACACACGUGCUACAAUGGCCUGUACAGAGGGCUGCUAUACCGCAAGGUUUAGCCAAUCCUCAAAACAGGUCCCAGUUCGGAUUGCUGGCUGCAACUCGCCUGCAUGAAGCUGGAGUCGCUAGUAAUCGCGGAUCAGAAUGCCGCGGUGAAUCCGUUCCCAGGCCUUGUACACACCGCCCGUCACACCACCCGAGUUGGAUGCACCAGAAGUCGUCUACGGGCGCCGAAGGUGUGUCCGAUAAGGGGGGUGAAGUCGUAACAAGGUAGCCGUAUCGGAAGGUGCGGCUGGAUCACCUCCUUUCU
rnacentral:rRNA from 1 species